UAAGUAUUCCGCCUGGGGAGUACGGUCGCAAGAUUAAAACUCAAAGGAAUUGACGGGGACCCGCACAAGCAGCGGAGCAUGUGGUUUAAUUCGAAGCAACGCGAAGAACCUUACCUAGACUUGACAUCUCCUGAAUUACUCGUAAUGGAGGAAGCCCUUCGGGGCAGGAAGACAGGUGGUGCAUGGUUGUCGUCAGCUCGUGUCGUGAGAUGUUGGGUUAAGUCCCGCAACGAGCGCAACCCUUAUCGUUAGUUGCUACCAUUAAGUUGAGCACUCUAACGAGACUGCCGCGGUUAACGUGGAGGAAGGUGGGGAUGACGUCAAAUCAUCAUGCCCCUUAUGUCUAGGGCUACACACGUGCUACAAUGGCCGGUACAACGAGAUGCAAACCCGUGAGGGGGAGCCAAACUUCAAAGCCGGUCCCAGUUCGGAUUGUAGGCUGAAACUCGCCUACAUGAAGUCGGAGUUGCCAGUAAUCGCGAAUCAGCAUGUCGCGGUGAAUACGUUCCCGGGUCUUGUACACACCGCCCGUCACACCAUGAGAGCCGGUAACACCCGAAGUCCGUGAGGUAACCUUUAUGGAGCCA
rnacentral:ncRNA from 1 species